rnacentral:rRNA from 1 species
UACGUAGGGUGCGAGCGUUGUCCGGAAUUAUUGGGCGUAAAGAGCUCGUAGGCGGCUUGUCGCGUCGGAUGUGAAAGCCCGGGGCUUAACUCCGGGUCUGCAUUCGAUACGGGCAGGCUAGAGUGUGGUAGGGGAGAUCGGAAUUCCUGGUGUAGCGGUGAAAUGCGCAGAUAUCAGGAGGAACACCGGUGGCGAAGGCGGAUCUCUGGGCAAUUACUAACGCUGAGGAGCGAAAGCGUGGGGAGCGAACAGG